CCAAUAGCGUAUAUUAAAGUUGUUGCAGUUAAAAAGCUCGUAGUUGAAUUUCGAGACCGGUUUACUGGUCGUGCUUUUGUACGUACUGGUAUUAUUGGUUUCUCCUUUCUGACGAACUAUAAUGCCAUUAAUUUGGUGUUUUAGGGAAUCAGGACUGUUACUUUGAAAAAAUUAGAGUGGUUAAAGCAGGCUCACGCUUGAAUACAUUAGCAUGGAAUAACGGUAUAGGACGUUUGAUUCUAUUUUGUUGGUUUCUAGGAUCGACGUAAUGAUUAAUAGGGAUAGUUGGGGGCAUUAGUAUUCAAUUGUCAGAGGUGAAAUUCUUGGAUUUAUUGAAGACUAACUACUGCGAAAGCAUUUGCCAAGGAUGUUUUCAUUAAUCAAGAACGAAAGUUAGGGGAUCGAAGACGAUCAGAUACCGUCGUAGUCUUAACCAUAAACUAUGCCGACUAGGGAUCGGAUGAUGUUAAUUUUUUAAUGACUCAUUCGGCGCCUUACG
rnacentral:rRNA from 1 species